AGGGUGUAAACGCUGCAGACUUGGUGUUGGAGGCCCUUUGGGGGCAUUCAGUGCCGGAGAGAAGUUGUUAAGUCUGCUACUUGGGGAGUACGUCCGCAAGGAUGAAACUUAAAGGAAUUGGCGGGGGAGCACCGCAACGGGAGGAGCGUGCGGUUUAAUUGGAUUCAACACCGUAAAACUCACCAGGGAAGACUGUUACAUGAAGGCCGAGAUGAAGACUCUGCUAGAUUUUCAGAGAGGAGGUGCAUGCGUCAGUGACU
rnacentral:rRNA from 1 species